rnacentral:rRNA from 1 species
UACGUAGGGUGCAAGCGUUGUCCGGAAUUAUUGGGCGUAAAGAGCUCGUAGGCGGUUUGUCGCGUCUGCUGUGAAAUCCCGAGGCUCAACCUCGGGCCUGCAGUGGGUACGGGCAGACUAGAGUGCGGUAGGGGGGACUGGAAUUCCUGGUGUAGCGGCGAAAUGCGCAGAUAUCAGGAGGAACACCGGUGGCGAAGGCGGGUCUCUGGGCCGUAACUGACGCUGAGGAGCGAAAGCGUGGGGAGCGAACAGG